ensembl:snRNA U6 U6 spliceosomal RNA
AUACUCACCUCAGCAGCACAUAUGGGAAAAUUGGAAUGAUACAAAGAUUAUCAUAGCCCCUGUGCAAGGACGACGCAUAAAUUCAUGAAGCAUCCUAUAUAUUG